GGGCCAGUGGCACAAUGGUCAAUGCACCUGACUACGGAUCAGGAGAUUGCAGGUUCGACUCCUGCCUGGCUCA